CUGAUCACACGCAGAACAGGUACUUGCGUAUAGAAUCAAUUGAGAGAGAUAAACACCAUAUUUGCAGAUGAUAUGGGAAUAUUGCUACCAAUACAUAAAUAUGGUAAGUUGAUGAUAGAGAACUAAAGUCUUUCCGUUUAUCAUAUAGUUGAGUUGUUGGUUUGCCGUUAGCAUCAUUCUAUGUUUGACAAAAUGUCUAAGUAUGAAGCAGAUGUGGAAGACUCUGUGGUGUCUUUCAUUUCGAGCUCACUAGGGUAUACCCAAUCGACAUAUGAAUGAAAAUGAUUAUUGUUUAUGGAAAAAAUGUCGAUAUAUCUAAAUGUCGCCCAAAGGGCGUUAUAGUAGAUUUCAUCACGUACCAACUUCAUGUCAUGUCCCAAUAACACUCAAAAAUGAUAUUUUAUUUCUUAUAUUCAUAUUUUCUAUUUUGAUUUGUGUUCUUACCGAGCUUCCAUGAUUAUGUAACAGAUGACCGAAAUAACGAUCGUAGAACACAAAAUAUAGUUCGUUAGAGUUUUAUCGAAUAAAAAAUUAGGAACAAUAUCAAAGAGAAUAUAAGAUAUAGAUAUUCAAUUGAAAAGGUUAAAAAAAAAAAGACGAAACAGGUGUAAAAUAAAGGUAAUUUAGAGCGUAAAGUUAAUUGAAAUGAAGAGAAGAAGAGCGGAGUAAACCACAUCCGUGAUAUGAUUUGGUCGCGAUCAGCGAUAGAGAAGCCUACUAAGUUGAAAAUACAAUUGUUGAUCACAGAUUUCGACAGAAAUUCAAAGGAUCUGAGAGAAUUGAUGGAGGAUAGGAUGGGUCAAGUUAACGUUAAGCUCUUAGUAAGAUUUUUGGAAAGAAACAACGGCUUGUUCAUCGUUAGGACUCGCGGUUGUAGCCAGACAGGAGACGAUUCGAGACAGUAGGACAGAUCUAGACAAAGUGCAGAUUUUAAUGAAGACUCGCACCGGUACCCUGACACGAACAUAUUUUUUUGAGCCUCGAAACCAGCCUCGCUUAUGAUCAUGCCGAGUCAUAGCAGUUGACAAGAAACAACAGGUUAACUUAUCAUCAUGAAGUAAAUUGGCUUAUAACUCUGCCUACAAUUUUUCGCUUCCAAUAUCAUAGAACUUUAUUUUAUAAACUCGCCAUGCAGAAAUUGCAAUUUAGGCAUAGUUGCAGACUUUUUAAACUUUUUAAAAUGAAACAAUAGAUCGGUAUGUUUAAUGUUUCUGUUUUUUAAAUUGAUGAAAUUCUUGUUUGUUUACAAAAUAAACUCUGUAUAAAUAU